GACGUAGGGCGCGAGCGUUGUCCGGAUUAUUGGGCGUAAAGAGCUCGUAGGCGGCUUGUCGCGUCGACUGUGAAAACCCGCGGCUCAACCGCGGGCCUGCAGCCGAUACGGGCAGGCUAGAGUUCGGUAGGGGAGACUGGAAUUCCUGGUGUAGCGGUGAAAUGCGCAGAGAUCGGGAGGAACACCCGUAGCGAAGGCGG
rnacentral:rRNA from 1 species